rnacentral:rRNA from 1 species
AUGAACGCUAGCUACAGGCUUAACACAUGCAAGUCGAGGGGCAGCAUUUUAGUUUGCUUGCAAACUGAAGAUGGCGACCGGCGCACGGGUGAGUAACACGUAUCCAACCUGCCGAUAACUCCGGGAUAGCCUUUCGAAAGAAAGAUUAAUACCGGAUGGCAUACGAAUAUCGCAUGAUAUUUUUAUUAAAGAAUUUCGGUUAUCGAUGGGGAUGCGUUCCAUUAGUUUGUUGGCGGGGUAACGGCCCACCAAGACUACGAUGGAUAGGGGUUCUGAGAGGAAGGUCCCCCACAUUGGAACUGAGACACGGUCCAAACUCCUACGGGAGGCAGCAGUGAGGAAUAUUGGUCAAUGGGCGCGAGCCUGAACCAGCCAAGUAGCGUGAAGGAUGAAGGCUCUAUGGGUCGUAAACUUCUUUUAUAUGGGAAUAAAGUUUUCCACGUGUGGAAUUUUGUAUGUACCAUAUGAAUAAGGAUCGGCUAACUCCGUGCCAGCAGCCGCGGUAAUACGGAGGAUCCGAGCGUUAUCCGGAUUUAUUGGGUUUAAAGGGAGCGUAGGUGGAUUGUUAAGUCAGUUGUGAAAGUUUGCGGCUCAACCGUAAAAUUGCAGUUGAAACUGGCAGUCUUGAGUACAGUAGAGGUGGGCGGAAUUCGUGGUGUAGCGGUGAAAUGCUUAGAUAUCACGAAGAACUCCGAUUGCGAAGGCAGCUCACUAGACUGUCACUGACACUGAUGCUCGAAAGUGUGGGUAUCAAACAGGAUUAGAUACCCUGGUAGUCCACACAGUAAACGAUGAAUACUCGCUGUUUGCGAUAUACAGUAAGCGGCCAAGCGAAAGCAUUAAGUAUUCCACCUGGGGAGUACGCCGGCAACGGUGAAACUCAAAGGAAUUGACGGGGGCCCGCACAAGCAGUGGAGUAUGUGGUUUAAUUCGAAGCAACGCGAAGAACCUUACCAGGUCUUGACAUCCGAUGCAUAGCUUAGAGAUAAGUGAAGUCCUUCGGGACAUCGAGACAGGUGGUGCAUGGUUGUCGUCAGCUCGUGUCGUGAGAUGUUGGGUUAAGUCCCGCAACGAGCGCAACCCUUGCUAUUAGUUGCUACGCAAGAGCACUCUAAUAGGACUACCGUUGACAAAACGGAGGAAGGUGGGGAUGACGUCAAAUCAUCAUGCCCCUUAUGACUUGGGCUACACACGUGCUACAAUGGCGUAAACAAAGGGAAGCAAAGCCGUGAGGCCGAGCAAAUCUCAAAAAUAACGUCUCAGUUCGGACUGUAGUCUGCAACCCGACUACACGAAGCUGGAAUCGCUAGUAAUCGCGGAUCAGAAUGCCGCGGUGAAUACGUUCCCGGGCCUUGUACACACCGCCCGUCACACCAUGAGAGUUGGGGAUACCCGAAGCCUGUGAGCCAACAUAUCUAUGAGGCAGCAGUCGAAGGUAGAAUCAAUGAUUGGGGUG